rnacentral:tRNA from 1 species
GUGGUUGUAGCUCAGUGGUAGAGCACUUGCCUAACACAUAUGAAGUACUAGGUUCAAGCCUCAGCACCACA